rnacentral:tRNA from 1 species
ACCUGGCUGGCUCAGUCAGUUGAGCAUGCAACUCUUGAUCUCAGGGUUGUGAGUUCAAGCCCCAUGCUGGGUG